rnacentral:rRNA from 1 species
GACGAACGCUGGCGGCGUGCCUAAUACAUGCAAGUAGAACGCUGAAGAGAGGAGCUUGCUCUUCUUGGAUGAGUUGCGAACGGGUGAGUAACGCGUAGGUAACCUGCCUGGUAGCGGGGGAUAACUAUUGGAAACGAUAGCUAAUACCGCAUAAAAUUGAUUAUUGCAUGAUAAUUAAUUGAAAGAUGCAACUGCAUCACUACCAGAUGGACCUGCGUUGUAUUAGCUAGUUGGUGAGGUAACGGCUCACCAAAGCGACGAUACAUAGCCGACCUGAGAGGGUGAUCGCCCACACGGGACCUGAGACCCGGCCCAGACUCCUAGGGGGGGCAGCAUUGGGGAUCUUUGCGAAUGGGGCGAACGCUGGCCGGGCCACGCCCGGUGGGGUAAUGAGGGUUUCCGGAUCUAAAGACCUGUUGAUAGGGGAGAAAGGAAUGUGUAAGUGACUAUUCACGUUUUGACGGUACCUUACCAGAAAGCCACGGCUAACUACGUG